CGGGUGAGUAACGCGUGAGGAACCUGCCUCAAAGAAGGGGACAACAGUUGGAAACGACUGCUAAUACCGCAUAAGCCCACGGCUCGGCAUCGAGCAGAGGGAAAAGGAGUGAUCCGCUUUGAGAUGGCCUCGCGUCCGAUUAGCUAGUUGGUGAGGUAACGGCCCACCAAGGCAACGAUCGGUAGCCGGACUGAGAGGUUGAACGGCCACAUUGGGACUGAGACACGGCCCAG
rnacentral:rRNA from 1 species